GAGGGAGCUAGCGUUGUUCGGAAUUACUGGGCGUAAAGCGCACGUAGGCGGCUUUGUAAGUUAGAGGUGAAAGCCCGGGGCUCAACUCCGGAACUGCCUUUAAGACUGCAUCGCUUGAAUCCAGGAGAGGUGAGUGGAAUUCCGAGUGUAGCGGUGAAAUGCGUAGAUAUCUGGAGGAACACCGGUGGCGAAGGCGGCAUCCUGGACCGACACUGACGCUGAGGCGCGAAAGCGUGGGGAGCAAACAGG
rnacentral:rRNA from 1 species